rnacentral:rRNA from 1 species
AGCGAACGCUGGCGGCGUACUUAACACAUGCAAGUCGAACGAGAAUCGCUCGUGUAGCAAUACAUAAGCGGUUCUAGUGGCGCACGGGUGAGUAACACGUGGGCAACCUGCCCUUGAGUCCGGGAUACCCUCUCGAAAGGGAGGCUAAUACUGGAUACGUUCCUCGGGUCGCAAGAUCUGGGGAGGAAAGGUGGCGAGAGCUCCCGCUCAUGGAGGGGCUCGCGGCCUAUCAGCUAGUUGGUGAGGUAACGGCUCACCAAGGCUAUGACGGGUAGCUGGUCUGAGAGGACGACCAGCCACACGGGAACUGAGACACGGUCCCGACUCCUACGGGAGGCAGCAGUGGGGAAUUUUCCGCAAUGGGCGAAAGCCUGACGGAGUGACGCCGCGUGGGGGACGAAGGCCUUCGGGUCGUAAACCCCUGUCAGAGGGAAAGAAGGGUUGCCGACCUAACACGUCGGUGAUCUGACGGUACCUUCAGAGGAAGCCCCGGCCAACUC